UUUUUUCGUUACUCAGAAUCAGAGAAUUCUAAAGCCCUAAAAUUCCCUUCCUUCUCCAUUCUAUCGGUUAGGAUUUUCCUCUGGCAACUCAUUCCCACUCUCUAUGUCUCAUCAAUUGGCGGUUACGAAAUUGAACAGAUGCUUAGUAUUAUUAUCCUAAUCAUCCCGAAACCUUCUGUUCCAUCUUCUCCUCAAAUAUCAGAUUUUAGGCAUCAACAAGGAUGAGGAAGUGAACAAAUUGGGCAAACUUUUUAUAAGAGGAAAUUUUCUGGUUUCAGAGGGCAAAGCCGGUGACAAUUGAUCUAGGGCUAUACAUUUCGAAGAAGCAGGAUAUGUUCUGGAUUACUCAGCGGAGGAGUGUGCCCACUGCCUUUAAACUCUUUACAGGAACAAAACUGCUCUUCGGCCCGGGCUUGGUGCGAUUAGGCUCGAGAGGCUUAUGACUUAUUGAACCACAGUGAAUUGGGAUGAAAUUUCUUUGUAACUAAAGAGUAAUUUAUAAGAGUUAUG